rnacentral:tRNA from 1 species
GCGCCUUAGCUCAGCUGGAUAGAGCACGUCCCUUCUAAGGAUGUGGUCGUAGGUUCGAAUCCUACAGGGCGUG